AUGCACAUUCCUACAAUGUUAAUGUACCAUAUCCCAUUAGAAUUCCACAAUUAAGUGUGCUUUGGCUAGAUUAGUACUAAUAUGGGUGAUGUCUCAGGGAGCCCUAGUGUUUUACAUU
rnacentral:rRNA from 1 species